rnacentral:rRNA from 1 species
GACAGCAUCCAUAUCACCCUGCAGGCCAAGACUGUUUGGCUACUGAAGCUAAGCAGGGUUGAGCCUGGUCAGUACCUGGAUGGGAGACCUCCUGGGAAAACUAGGUUGCUGUUGGAA